rnacentral:hammerhead_ribozyme from 1 species
AUCUAGCUGAAGAGUCCCAAACAGGACGAAACACGAGUCCUGGAU